rnacentral:rRNA from 1 species
UACGUAGGAGGCAAGCGUUGUCCGGAAUUACUGGGCGUAAAGCGCGUGUAGGUGGUGGGACAAGUCUGCUGUGAAAGCGCCUGGCUUAACCGGGCGAGGUCGGCGGAAACUGUUCACUGGAGGACGGUAGAGGGGGUGGAAUUCCCGGUGUAGUGGUGAAAUGCGUAGAGAUCGGGAGGAACACCUGUGGUGAAGGCGGCCCCCUGGGCCGGCCCUGACACUGAGACGCGAAGGCGUGGGGAGCGAACGGG